rnacentral:hammerhead_ribozyme from 1 species
AUCCUGUUGACGAGUCCUAAAUAGGACGAAACGUGCAUCCCAGAU